rnacentral:lncRNA from 1 species
UUCAGUAGAGGUUCGAUGGUAUGCAUGGAUAGGACAAAAAAAAAUGAUUGCUAAAUGAAAAACUGCACACUAAAUGGACGUGUAUUUUGCUUGUUACAGGGGUCGGUCGAGGAAUUCCAGUCCACUCCGGAGGGAGCGUCUUGUGCGACCGUUAUCGAGAGAGAGCAUUGCAGUCAUUGGACCAACUCUAAUCGAAUUUUCACAAGAUUUCGAGGGAUUGCACUCGGUCCACUGCCGGAAUGGAGGCGAUAGAGGCAGGGACUCUGGAAGACGGAGACGAGAACAACCACGAAGCUCAUCGCAUCCCUUCUGAUCCUGCAACGAAAACCUUUGACUCCAAGAAUCAAGCAUCCUCGGCAGACUUAGAUCGGUUCAAAUCUUACUUAGGGACGCCAGAGAAGCAGAGACUGUGACUCUGAGGGAAAACCAAAUAAAUUGAGUACUUGGAAGACGCCCAAUUUGCAAAAGCUGCAGACGAUGGGCUAACGCAAAUGGAACCACAGCAUACAACGAUCAUUUUAUUUCGUACCCCUUUUUGCAACAAAUAUAUACUACUUCUUCGUCAAGAGCUAAUUUUCUCUCCAUCCUAAUUGAGCCUCCAUUCGACGAGUCGAAGUAAUCGGAUCCAGAGUAACGGACUCAGACAGAAAAAUAGUUUACUCUUAUAGAUACACGUAUAUAAAUACAAUUUUUCUAACGGAAAGUUACAAUUUAUUCAAACAAAGCUCCAAUUUUACUGCCACUUAAACGCAAAAAAAUUGCGAUUGUUAUUCGGACUUUAUCAAAAUCUUGGUUUUGAAGAUUUUUACUGUCAAUGAACUUGCGAAAAUCCACCAAUUAAAUUGCAAAUCAUUAUGAUCAUUAAUUUUUGAGGUAGCCUGAAAAAUUCUCAAGCGAUAUUCACUCGGUUGAGGUAUAUAUGUUACAGGGAGACUUACCGCAUAGCUGAUACCGAGUUAAUAGAUCCGUGAAAAAACACUCAACUAUAGAAAUAGUUUACUCGUCAUCCUGCUACAUAGCCUACGGUAGACCUCGCCAAUAAUACACUCAUUCGAAAGAUAGUGUUGAUUGAGGGUAAUUGUGUGACUUAUAGUAAGCUAACGGAUCCGCAGUUGAAGAAAUAGUCGACCCUUCAACUGUCACAUUCCCUGAACAAAACUGUAAUCCUUUGAGGAUACUGAAUGAAUCGUGUGCAUAGUGGUGAAAUAAGGGUUGCAUAAUGUCAAGGAGGGCAGUUUACUUGUCGUCCUGCUAUGUACGCUAGACCUGGCCAAUUAUACACUCAUUCGAAAGAUAGCUUUCAUUGAGGUUUAUCGGGAGACUCAUUUUGAGCUGACGGAUCCGCAGUGAAGCACUCUGUUGAAGAAAAAGUCGACCCAAAAACCCAACUGUCACAAAAAUAUAAUCGCUCGAAGAUACCGAACGAAUCGUGCGUAAAUUGGUGAAACGAGGGUUGCAUAAUGUCAAGGUGCUGAAAAAGCAGUCGACCCGCCAGUUUACUUGUCGUCCUGCUACAUAGCCUACGCUAGACUUAGCCAGCAAUACUCUCAUUCGAAAGAUAGUUUUCAUUGAGGUUCAUUGUGUGCUUUACAGUAAGCUAACGGAUCCGCAGUUGAAGAAAUAGUCGACCCUUCAACUGUCACAAAAAUACAAUCGCUCGAACGAAUCGUGCGUGAAUUGGUGAAAAGAGGGUUGCAUAAUGCCAAGGAGCUGAAAGGGCAGUCGCCGGCAGUUUACUUAUCGUUCUGCUACGAAGCCUACGCUAGACCUGGCCAGUUAUACACUCAUUCGAAAGAUAGUUUUCAUUGAGGUUUAUCGGUUGACUUAUACUGAGCUACAAAUCCGCAGUUGAAGAAAUAGUCGACCCUUCAACCGUCUCAAAAAUACAAUCGCUCGAACGAAUCGUGCGUGAAUUGGUGAAACGAGGGUUGCAUAAUGUCGAGGAG